GGGGAAUAUUGGGCAAUGGGCGCAAGCCUGACCCAGCAACGCCGCGUGAAGGAAGAAGGCUUUCGGGUUGUAAACUUCUUUGACAGGGGACGAAACAAAUGACGGUACCCUGAAAACAAGCCACGGCUAACUACGUGCCAGCAGCCGCGGUAAUACGUAGGUGGCAAGCGUUAUCCGGAUUUACUGGGUGUAAAGGGCGUGUAGGCGGGAUUACAAGUCAGAUGUGAAAACUAUGGGCUCAACCCAUAGCCUGCAUUUGAAACUGUAGUUCUUGAGUGAUGGAGAGGCAGACGGAAUUCCUCGUGUAGCGGUGAAAUGCGUAGAUAUGAGGAGGAACACCAGUGGCGAAGGCGGUCUGCUGGACAUUAACUGACGCUGAGGCGCGAAAGCGUGGGGAGCAAACA
rnacentral:rRNA from 1 species